UACGUAGGGUGCAAGCGUUGUCCGGAAUUAUUGGGCGUAAAGAGCUCGUAGGCGGUUUGUCGCGUCGGCUGUGAAAUCCCGAGGCUCAACCUCGGGCCUGCAGUCGAUACGGGCAAACUAGAGUGUGGUAGGGGAGACUGGAAUUCCUGGUGUAGCGGUGAAAUUCGUAGAUAUCAAGCGGAACACCGGUGGCGAAGGCGGCUCACUGGCUCGUAUCUGACGCUCAGGCGCGACAGCGUGGGGAUCAAACAGG
rnacentral:rRNA from 1 species